AUUUGUUGACAGGUGUGGGAGGAAGUCAGCCAGAGUGGGAAGGACUUCGUGAAGCGGCUGUUAGAGGUCGAUCCCAGUGCCAGGUUGACAGCUGUGGAGGCACUAAGACACAAGUGGAUAUUAGCGCAUCACCACAACACCUGCACUCAACAGUCACAGUCACCAGUUGAGUCGUGGAGUCGCUGCUCAUCGUCCCACUCAUCCAGAUCUGCUCGCUCAGCCACAUCGCUGCGGGCAGGCCGGAGACGCGUCCAACCUCAGGAACUAGAGUGGUUGACACAGUCACUACAAACAUCGGUUACCAGGCCCACUCUACACCCGACCUACACCAGCUGAGGACCUGCUAGAUAAAUGGAAUAGUUGAACUUCAAGCAUCUGUCACUCAACACAGACAACUUGAGAGUGUCUUGCCUGCCCCAUCAUAAGUUACUAGCAACACCAGACUGGCACAUCAAGAACCAUAAUCACCGAUGCAUUGAUGAUACUUAACGAUGCAGUUACAGUGUGUUAGGCUGUGGACAUUAAUGAUAGCAUCUCUCAUGGGCUACAAUCAUUGUGAGGUUUAAUUAGACAUUACUAGGAUGAUAAUGACACUUUAAAGCUGCCUUGUGAUUACAAGUUUUUAAGUGUGUUAAGUGAAAUAAGUGGUACACUUUGCAAGAGUCUUGGUACUCCUGAAACUUAACUCUUAGUUACAGACUUUCCACUGAGAUGUGUUUGAUGUAAAUAUUAUUGUUAGAGCAGUGAAAGACUGGUGGUCAAGUCUGACUCUAACUUGAAAGUUGUUAAAGUCUUGCAAGUGAUGGCAGAUAACCACAGACCUGGUUCUUAGUCACUACUUGGCCACUGACUUAUGAUCAUUCAGUGACUUACGCUUGUUCGGUGACUUAUGAUCAUUUAAUUACUUUGUCAUUACACUCAUUACUCUAGCAGUGAUCAUUCAGAUCGCUCAACGACCCAUGUGGGUUUAUCAUUUUUCUGAACCUAACAGUUGAAGUCGUUACCUGGGUAAUGGCCAUACAGUGUGCUCAAUGACCCACAGCGACAUCAGUCCAUGGGACCAGGAGCUGUACCAUAACCAGUAGUGAAGGGUUCUUGAUCCAAGGAAUUGAACCUGAUUGCCUCUCAUCCAUGAGCACUAUAUUAGCCCUGUGGGUUUAGUGCUCUAUAUAUACAAUCAUUACUCUUAUUAAGCUCCUCGAUAUAUUUAUUUGUACACCCCUACUUUUGGUUGCUAGGGGUUGAGCCUCAGCUCCUGGCUCAGAUUAAUUUGUGAUGAACAAGUGUUGAUGAAUAAAGAGAAAGAUGGA